GUACACGCUGUGACUAGCAUAUCAAUAAGCGGAGGAAAAGAAACUAACAAGGAUUCCCUCAGUAACGGCGAGUGAAGCGGGAAGAGCUCAAAUUUGAAAUCUUGAAAGGUCACCUUUCACGAAUUGUAGUUUAAAGAAGUGUUUUCUGUUACGAUCGUAAUAUAAGUUCUUUGGAAUAGGACAUCACAGAGGGUGAGAAUCCUGUCUAUGAUUGCGAUUUGUAGCUUUGUGAUACACUUUCAAAGAGUCGGGUUGUUUGGGAAUGCAGCCCAAAACGGGAGGUAAAUUUCUUCUAAGGCUAAAUAUUGGCGAGAGACCGAUAGCGAGCAAGUACCGUGAGGGAAAGAUGAAAAGAACUUUGAAAAGAGAGUUAAAUAGUACGUGAAAUUGUCAAAAGGGAAGCGUUUAACACCAGUGUUGUUUUCUGAAAAUCAACCUCUGUUAGCUUUAUGCAUGUUUGUUUAGACCUAAUCAGCUAUCUUUCAUGUUCUAUUGUUUGCAGUGGUGCACUUUUCAGUUUACAGGUCAACAUCAGUUUUUUUUACCGUAAAAAAGUUAAAGAAAGGUAGCUCAUGGCUCCGGUCGUGAGUGUUAUAGUCUUUUUCCUAUGCGGUAGGAGAGACUGAGGUCUGCAGUGUAGGCUAUUUGGCUAGAUACUCAGGUGCUAUGUGAUACCAUUUCAUAAACAACUUGUUGAUUAUGUUUUGUCUAUUGCAUACUCGCUUGUACUAUCAUACCUACGCUUAGGAUGUUGAGUAGCGACAUACGCAC
rnacentral:rRNA from 1 species